GUGAGGAAUUUUCCGCAAUGGGCGAAAGCCUGACGGAGCAAUGCCGCGUGAAGGAUGAUGGCCUAUGGGUUGUAAACUUCUUUUCUCAGAAAAGAAUUAUGACGGUAUCUGAGGAAUAAGCAUCGGCUAACUCUGUGCCAGCAGCCGCGGUAAGACAGAGGAUGCAAGCGUUAUCCGGAAUGAUUGGGCGUAAAGCGUCUGUAGGUUGUUUAAAAAGUAUUCUGUCAAAGAUUAGGGCUUAACCCUAGAUAGGCAGAAUAAACUUUUAAGCUAGAGUUUGGUAGAGGCAGAGGGAAUUCCCGGUGGAGCGGUGAAAUGCGUAGAUAUCGGGAGGAACACCAAAGGCGAAGGCACUCUGCUGGGCCAAUACUAACACUGAGAGACGAAAGCGAGGGGAGCAAAUGGGAUUAGAUACCCGAGUAGUCC
rnacentral:rRNA from 1 species